rnacentral:lncRNA from 10 species
AUCUCAAAACAAAUCAAAACAAAAAAUAUUGUAAGAUCUUGAACGAUGAAUAUGUUGACCUCAGUCAUGAAAAACUAGUAAUAGACAUUGAGACUUUCUACCCUAGCUAACUGAAAAACAGAGUAAAAUAAACAACUUCUGAGAUCAAACCUGAAUAAAGUUUCUUUCACAGCCAGAAGCUGUCGUUGGCGGUGCGGGGGAGCAGCUUCACAAAUGCACGUGACUAAAAACCAUUUGAGGACACUUUGGAAGACAGUUUGGCAGUUUCUCUCCAAGCUCAACAGCCUUACAAUACGAUCCAGCAACUGCCCUCCUUGGAAUUUACCCAACUGAGUUGGAAACUAUGUCCACAUGAAAAUCUGCCAUAAAUAUUUAUAGCAGCUUUAUUUAUAAUUGCCAAAAACUGAAGCAACCAAGAUGUCCCUCAAUAGGUGACUCGAUAAACUAUGAUGCAUCCAGACAAUGAAAUAUUAUUCAGUGAUAGUAAGAGAUCAGCUCUCAAGCCUUGAAAAGACAUAAAGGAACUUUAACUGUAUAUGGCUAAGUGAAAGAAGCCAAUAUGAAAAGGCUACAUAUUGUACAAUUUCAACUAGAUGGCAUUCUGGAAAAGGCAAUGCUACUGAGACAACAGAAGGAUCAGUGGUUGCCAGGGGUUCAGGGGGACACGGACAGGGAUGAAUAGCUGAGCACAGGGGACUCCUGGUUGGUGAAACUCUUCUGUAUGAUACGAUGCGGUCUGGCAUGUGAGAAGCGCCUCUGCCUGGCUGCCCUUCGUCUGGGAGGCGAGGAGCGCCUCUGCCCGGCCGCCCCGUCUGGGAGGUGGGGGGCGCCUCUGCCCGGCCGCCCCAUCUGGGAGGUGAGGAGCGCCUCGGCCCGGCCGCCCCAUCUGGGAACUGAGGAGCGCCUGUGCCAGGCCGCCCCGUCUGGGAAGUGAGGAGCGCCUCUGCCAGGCCGCCCCGUCUGGGAAGUGUACCCAACAGCUCUGAAGAGACAGUGACCAUCAAGAACGGGCCAUGAUGACGAUGGCGGUUUUGUCGAAAAGAAAAGGGGGAAAUGUGGGGAAAAGAAAGAGAGAUCAGAUUGUUACUGUGUCUGUGUAGAAAGAAGUUGACAUAGGAGACAUCAUUUUGUUCUGUACUAAGAAAAAUUAUUCUGCCUUGGGAUGCUGUUAAUCUAUAACCUUACCCCCAACCCCGUGCUCUCUGAAACAUGUGCUGUGUCAACUCAGGGUUAAAUGGAUUAAGAGCAGUGCAAGAUGUGCUUUGUUACACAGAUGCUAGAAGGCAGCAUGCUCGUUAAGAGUCAUCACCACUCCCUAAUCUCAAGUACCCAGGGACACAAACACUGCUGAAGGCCGAAGGGACCUCUGCCUAGGAAAACUAGAGACUUUUGUUCACGUGUUUAUCUGCUGACCUUCUCUCCACUAUUAUCCUAUGACCCUGCCACAUCCCCCU